GUCCGCGUAGCCGCGCUGGUGCGAGAAGGCGUAGGCCGAGCGCCUAGACGACGCGCCCCGGCGAAACACGUUCUGCCGCCGCUUCCACUGCUCCUCGGCCUUCAACCGCUUGCGAUGCUUCUGGAUCUGCAGAAGGCAAACUAAAAAUCCCAAUCCCAAGCACUUGUUUGCAAGAUGGAGUUGGAGAAGAGGAGUCAUAAAAAUCAUUCUAACCAAACUUCCCAUGAGGUUUGAGGUUUGCAGGAAAAGUGCUGUUGGGAAACACUUUGGUUUCUGUGGGGGACACUCAAGAAUUAGAGGAGGACUGUAUCUCUGCAUACCUUAUCACUUUCCGAUGGCCAAAUGGUCAUUGACAAGAAGCGGACAGCAACGACAGGCAAUAAACACACUGCAACAGUCAAGAUGAUGGUCAACCAAAUGUAUGGCUGCCUCAGGGCAUUGGAAGCGGUGCCUGGAAAGAACAGAGGAUUUGCAGAUAAGCUCCAAGAGGAAUGAAGAAGAGGACCAUGGAUGUUAAGAUUCCAUGUAACAAGCUGAUGAAGAAUUUCUUGUAGUUGAAUAGUAAGUCUCUUUGUCCCACUACAUACAACCCAGGGAAUCGGAGGCUUAGUUUGUCACUCACAUCCUUAAGGAGAAAACAAAAUUAGAGUGAUAUACUGUCCAUCAGGUCAAGAAGUCAGAGAUAUGCUGCAAUCUGUAUCUCAUAAAGAAUUGUGACUUGCUGUUGAGUUCUAAGAAGACAAACUGAGUGGAAUAAAUCCUGCAAUAUUUC